rnacentral:lncRNA from 1 species
GGGGCGCCUCUGCCCGGCCGCCCCUACUGGGAAGUGAGGAGCCCCUCAGCCCGGCCAGCCACCCCGUCUGGGAGGGAGAUGGGGGGGUCAGCCCCCCCACCCGGCCAGCCGCCCCGUCCGGGAGGGAGGUAGGGGGGUCAGCCCCCCGCCUGGCCAGCCGCCCCGUCCGGGAGGGAGGUGGGGGGGUCAGCCCUCCGCCCGGCCAGCCGCCCCGUCUGGGAGGUGAGGGGCGCCUCUGCCCAGCCGCCCCUACUGGGAAGUGAGGAGCCCCUCUGCCCGGCCAGCCGCCCCGUCCGGGAGGGAGGUGGGGGGUCAGCCCCCCGCCCGGCCAGCCGCCCUGUCCGGGAGGGAGGUGGGGGGGUCAGCCCUCCGCCCGGCCAGCCGCCCCGUCUGGGAGGUGAGGGGCGCCUCUGCCCGGCCACCCCUACUGGGAAGUGAGGAGCCCCUCUGCCCGGCCAGCUGCCCCGUCCGGGAGGGAGGUGGGGGGGUCGGCCCCCCGCCCGGCCAGCCGCCCCGUCCGGGAGGGAGGUGGGGGGGUCGGCCCCCCGCCCGGCCAGCCGCCCCGUCUGGGAGGGAGGUGGGGGGGGUCGGCCCCCCUGCCUGGCCAGCCGCCCCGUCCGGGAGGUGAGGGGCGCCUCUGCCCGGCCGCCCCUACUGGGAAGUG